GAUGAACGCUGGCGGCGUGCCUAAUACAUGCAAGUAGAACGCUGAAGGAAGGAGCUUGCUCUUUCCGGAUGAGUUGCGCACGGGUGAGUAACGCGUAGGUAACCUGCCUGGUAGCGGGGGAUAACUAUUGGAAACGAUAGCUAAUACCGCAUAACAGUAGAUGUUGCAUGAUAUCUACUUAAAAGGUGCAAUUGCACCACUACCAGAUGGACCUGCGUUGUAUUAGCUAGUUGGUGAGGUAACGGCUCACCAGGGCGACGAUACAUAGCCGACCUGAGAGGGUGAUCGGCCACACUGGGACUGAGACACGGCCCAGACUCCUACGGGAGGCAGCAGUAGGGAAUCUUCGGCAAUGGACGGAAGUCUGACCGAGCAACGCCGCGUGAGUGAAGAAGGUUUUCGGAUCGUAAAGCUCUGUUGUAAGAGAAGAACGAGUGUGAGAGUGGAAAGUUCACACUGUGACGGUAUCUUACCAGAAAGGGACGGCUAACUACGUG
rnacentral:rRNA from 1 species